UACGAAGGGGGCUAGCGUUGUUCGGAAUUACUGGGCGUAAAGCGCACGUAGGCGGGUAUUUAAGUCAGGGGUGAAAUCCCAGAGCUCAACUCUGGAACUGCCUUUGAUACUGGGUACCUAGAGUAUGGAAGAGGUGAGUGGAAUUCCGAGUGUAGAGGUGAAAUUCGUAGAUAUUCGGAGGAACACCGGUGGCGAAGGCGGCGCCCUGGACCGAGACUGACGCUGAGGCGCGAAAGCGUGGGGAGCAAACAGG
rnacentral:rRNA from 1 species